AGUUGAUCCUGGCUUAGGAUGAACGCUAGCGAUAGGCUUAACACAUGCAAGUCGGAGGGCAGCACGGUGUAGCAAUACACUGGGUGGACGACCGGCGUACGGGUGACGUAACACGUAUGACCAACCUACCCGCUUAGUUGGGGGACUAACCCGGCGAAAGUCGGACUAAUAUCCCAUAUUAUUCUUACCGGGCAUCCGGUGAGUCUGAAAGAUUUAUCGAUUGCGGAUGGGCAUGCGGAUGAUUAGCUAGUAGGUGGGGUAACGGCUCACCUAGGCGACGAUCAUUAGGGGUUCUGAGAGGAAGGUCCCCCCACACUGGAACUGAGACACGGUCCAGACUCCUACGGGAGGCAGCAGUGAGGAAUAUUGGUCAAUGGGCGCUAGCCUGAACCAGCCAAGUCGCGUGAAGGAUGAACAGAUCUAUGGUUUGUAAACUUCUUUUGCAGGGGAGUAAAGUGCGACACGUGUGUUGUAUUGCAAGUACCCUGCGAAUAAGCAUCGGCUAACUCCGUGCCAGCCGCCGC
rnacentral:rRNA from 1 species